rnacentral:rRNA from 1 species
AGAACGAACGCUGGCGGCAGGCCUAACACAUGCAAGUCGAACGCCCGUAGCAAUACGGGAGUGGCAGACGGGUGAGUAACGCGUGGGAACGUACCUUUCGGUUCGGAAUAACCCGGGGAAACUCGGGCUAAUACCGGAUACGUCCGCAAGGAGAAAGAUUUAUCGCCGAAAGAUCGGCCCGCGUCGGAUUAGCUAGUUGGUGAGGUAACGGCCCACCAAGGCGACGAUCCGUAGCUGGUCUGAGAGGAUGAUCAGCCACACUGGGACUGAGACACGGCCCAGACUCCUACGUGAGGCAGCAGUGGGGAAUAUUGGACAAUGGGCGAAAGCCUGAUCCAGCCAUGCCGCGUGAGUGAAGAAGGCCUUAGGGUUGUAAAGCUCUUUCAGCGGGGAAGAUAAUGACGGUACCGCAGAAGAAGUCCCGGCUAACUUCGUGCCAGCAGCCGC